UUCCUACGGGUGGCUGCAGUGGGGAAUAUUGCACAAUGGGCGAAAGCCUGAUGCAGCAACGCCGCGUGAGCGAUGAAGGCCUUUGGGUCGUAAAGCUCUGUCCUUGGGGAAGAAACAAAUGACGGUACCCAAGGAGGAAGCCCCGGCUAACUACGUGCCAGCAGCCGCGGUAAUACGUAGGGGGCAAGCGUUAUCCGGAAUUAUUGGGCGUAAAGAGUACGUAGGUGGUCUUUUAAGCGCAGGGUUUAAGGCAAUGGCUUAACCAUUGUUCGCCCUGUGAACUGGAAGACUUGAGUGUAGGAGAGGAAAGUGGAAUUCCUAGUGUAGCGGUGAAAUGCGUAGAUAUUAGGAGGAACAUCAGUGGCGAAGGCGACUUUCUGGACUAUUACUGACACUGAGGUACGAAAGCGUGGGGAGCAAACAGGAUUAGAUACCCUGGUAGUC
rnacentral:rRNA from 1 species